rnacentral:rRNA from 1 species
AACGCGAAGAACCUUACCAAGAAUUGACAUCCUCCUUUAACCCAUGGAAACAUGGGAAGCCCUUCGGGGCGAGGAGAGACAGGUGGUGCAUGGUUGUCGUCAGCUCGUGUCGUGAGAUGUUGGGUUAAGUCCCGCAACGAGCGCAACCCUUGCUUUUAGUAACCAGCACGUAAAGGUGGGGACACUAAAGGGACUGCCGUGGAUAAUACGGAGGAAGGUGGGGACGACGUCAAAUCAUCAUGCCCCUUAUAACUUGGGCAACACACGUGCUACAAUGGGAUCUACAAAGUGAAGCGAGACGGCGACGUUAAGCAAACCACAGAAAGGAUCUCUCAGUUCGGAUUGUAGUCUGCAACCCGACUACAUGAAGCUGGAAUCGCUAGUAAUCGCGAAUCAGCAUGUCGCGGUGAAUACGUUCUCGGGUCUUGUACACACCG